UGGGGAAUAUUGGACAAUGGGGGGAACCCUGAUCCAGCCAUGCCGCGUGUGUGAAGAAGGCCUUAUGGUUGUAAAGCACUUUAAGCGAGGAGGAGGGUACUGGUAUUAAUACUACCAGCUACUGGACGUUACUCGCAGAAUAAGCACCGGCUAACUCUGUGCCAGCAGCCGCGGUAAUACAGAGGGUGCGAGCGUUAAUCGGAUUUACUGGGCGUAAAGCGUGCGUAGGCGGCUAAUUGAGUCGGAUGUGAAAUCCCCGAGCUUAACUUGGGAAUUGCAUUCGAUACUGGUUAGCUAGAGUGUGGGAGAGGAUGGUAGAAUUCCAGGUGUAGCGGAGAAAUGCGUAGAGAUCUGGAGGAAUACCGGUGGCGAAGGCAGCCAUCUGGCCUAACACUGACGCUGAGGUACGAAAGCAUGGGGAGCAAACAGG
rnacentral:rRNA from 1 species